rnacentral:rRNA from 1 species
CACGUAGGGUGCGAGCGUUGUCCGGAAUUAUUGGGCGUAAAGAGCUCGUAGGCGGUGUGUCGCGUCGGCCGUGAAAACCUGCAGCUUAACUGUGGGCGUGCGGUCGAUACGGGCAUCACUGGAGUUCGGCAGGGGAGACUGGAAUUCCUGGUGUAGCAGUGAAAUGCGCAGAUAUCAGGAGGAACACCGGUGGCGAAGGCGGGUCUCUGGGCCGUAACUGACGCAGGAGCGAAAGCAUGGGGAGCGAACAGG